GAGAAGGAUUUGCUCAGGACAGGAUGGUUCUUCCAUUUCCAAAGAGGGCUCCAGUCACAUGGGAGAGAGAAACCUUCCAAGUGCCUGCACCCCCAGGAAAAUUCUUACCAUGGAAGCCUGGGCCUGAAGACUCUGGUCAGAGGAGGGUGGGCUUCCCAGGGCUUCCUGGUCACGGUGGUGGGCCUCUGAGUGCAUGAAGCACUCCUUUGGAUUGGGGAGAGCAGGGAGAACUAACUCAGUAUCUACUGUGUACAAGGCACCUCCACAGCUGUUAUCAUCCUGACAGCCAGAUAUGGUGGAUAAUCUGAUCAUAUCAUGUUUUAGAGACGAGGAAGCUGAGGCUCAGGAGGUCAAGUGACUGUCCUAAGUCACACAGUGGUAUGGGAGCAGCCAGAUCAGUGAAUCCAUCACCUGGGCUUUGCCGGGGCCUGCACCCCCGCCUCGGGAAGUGCCCUCUUCAG
rnacentral:lncRNA from 1 species